rnacentral:sRNA from 12 species
CCUAUGGAGUGUCAUAUCAAACGAAAGUAGUUAAUAAGAUUUUCUUAUAACCAAAUCGGACACGAUGAAGUAGGAA